AGGACCAGUCCCGAGGACCCCAGGAUUCAACAGAAGGAGAAAGAGAACACGCGCUGGGAGGACGCGUCAACAGGUGGCGGAGGUGCCCCGGCGGGCGGGGGACAGAGAAGGGUGAAGGGCAGCGGGGACAGCGUGGAGAAGCGCUGUCAACCCCGACCACCCGCCCCGCACCCGCACCCGCACCCGGACUGAGGGAGAGCCGUGCCCCCUCCCGCCGUGCGUCGGGGGUGAGGGGCUGACUUUGUGCCCAGCCAAGGCGCUGGGCCUCUGCCAGCGCAGGGGGAGGUCGCGGCCCGGCAGCCAAUGACGAGGAGCAGGGGAGAGAGCUGCAAAGCUGCUCUGUUUGCGCGGCGACGCACGGAAUGCACAAAGCCCCCGGUGCCAGCGCAUCAGGACACCCCUCCCUUGGGAACGAAAUGUGUGCUAUGCCAGCUUCCCUCCCUGCCCUCCCGCUGCUCCUGCCACUGUUCUAUUUGUAGCGGCGAGCGCCCAGGAGGACCUGCGCAGGGCAGGAUACCCAGCUCCGAACAAAUCCCCGCAUUCCGCAGAGACUCUGGAGCCCAGGCCGUACCUGGCCCUUUCCCAGACGUCUCUUCAACUCACCCGUGUUGAUGGGCCCCUAGGUGUGGUGAACUUUGCCCCGCCCUGCAGACACCCACAUAACCUUCCCGCUCUCAGAGCGACAAGCCCAACUUUUAUUACUAACGCAGCUAGGAGCCACACAGCGCUGGGUGUCAUGGAUAUAGCAGUGAGGGAAGUACAGAGCUCAUGUCCUCACGAGGACAGCCAAGUUCAAAGACGUCACCUGACACGCUCCAGAUCCCAGGCUGUGAAAAACCGAGAAUCCAAAUGCAGGGGUGUUGGCCUCUCCUCCCAGAUCGGCUGUGAUGGUCUGCCAUAAGCCCCGUUCAACCAGGCAGCUGGAAAGACCUGGUGAAAAAUCGUUUCCGGUGAGGGCAAAGGAAGCCGGGCUCAACAGAGUAGCGUUUACACCUGGCAGACAUGGAGAAAUUAUAUUCUUGGGGCUCCCAAGGUUUUAGGGAGACAAAACCUGUUUUUCAUGCCUGUGUUCGAAGUUGUCACUUUUGAACCGAGUUGUCGCUUCUGAACAACAGCUUCCCCUUCCCUCCCUCCCCCCAGGUACAAACAGCUCCAUGAAACAGCUCCAAGCAUGGGGGCAGGGGUGUGGGUUCCUGUUUGCCAUGAAGAACCCCUCACACACAUCCCCCAUAGGAGAAACUGUCACAAAGGAUACAGCCCCCAGCUCUUGGAAGUCUCUCCCUCCCUCUCUGCUUACCACCAGUGUCGCAGAAUGUGAGCCAUGCAACAGAACGGAGACGGCUUCCUUUGCAGGACUGAGCAGAAAUCUGUAUCUUCAGAAACACAUUAAUGCCCUUGCCAAUGUGUCUGAGCCCCACCUGAGUCCCUCUGGAGCCUCACUAAAUACUAGGAGUGUUGGGGGUACACAGCUUCUCUUUGGUGCUGAUGCUGUUUUAGCAUUUCUUGCUUUUUUUAAAAAAUGUUUUUAAUGUUGAUUUAUUUUUGAGAGACAGAGACAGAGUGUGAGUGGGGAAGGGGCAGAGAGAGAGGGAGACACAGCAUCCGAAGCAGGCUCCGGGCUCCGAGCUGUCAGCACAGAGCCCGACGCGGGGCUCGAACCCACGGACCGUGAGAUCACGACCUGAGCCGAAGUCGGACGCUUAACCACGGAGCCCCCCGGGUGCCCCUGUUUUAGCAUUCCUACUCACAGUUUCUAAUCUUAAAGAUGUUCAGAGACAUAACUUAUUAUUGUGCCCAUAUUACAACCGGGAGGCCAAGGCACAAGAGAAGUCCCUUGUCACAUAGGCCAGUUGCAGAGCCCAGGUUAGGAGGUGGGUCUGUGGAACCCACACCUGGUGAGCCGCUCCUGGAUGUACCAACUUGCCUGAUCUCACCAGAGAUGUCGAGGCUCUCCCCUUGGCUUCUGGGGGGAGAAUCAGGGUGUUGGGGCAUUGGGGGGGAGGGGAGGGAGCUGGACGAGGCUCCUGCCACUUGAUGCGGGCAGUGGGUUAGACCCUGAACUUGUAAGAAGGUGCUAUCAGCCACCUGUGUUUGGAGAGAAUGUGAGACCUGACUGCUGGCCCCAAGCCCUGUGGGGGCGAGCACCCCCAGUGGGGCUGGGGGUGCAGGCCAGGGUCUGUCUGUUUGCCCUACAGCUUAGGUAAGCCCUUUUCCAGGAACCGAGGCCUCUACAGGUCACCUGUUUGCCCUUUGUUGAUCUGCAAAGCCUCUGAUGAGACGGACUUUGUGCUUGGGAGUGUCAUCAGCCAGGGCAGUGGCCCCUGAUCUCCUGGAAACCUGCCCUCAGAUGAAGAAACCAAGGGCCGGAAAUGAUACCGUGUGGCCGAGAUCUCCAGGAGGGAGCAAGACCCGGGCUGUCAGAGUCCACAUCCGUUCUGCCAUCGGCACCAGCCCCAGGGUACCCCCAGAGGUGGGCUGUCUGGUCCACAAGCCAGCGCUCCCCUGGCCCGAUAACCCAGCUGUCUCUGGCAGGUGCAGGAACACGGUAUUAGGGAUCAGUCUCGGCCCCAGCACCGUGGGGUGGCAGAGCAUGUGCGGAAGCCCGUGGCAGGAGAGAGGGGCCGCGUUCAAGGGGAGAGAGUGGAAAUGGCCCAAGACCCGCAGACGUGGCCGGGAGGGGAGUUCGGCUCGAUUCCGUCAGAUUUGUAAAAACAAUAAAUGAUACGUGCUGACCGAUUGCCGUUACUGAACGGGUCCCCGGCUGCCGUUUACCGGCUGGCUUUGCUAGAGGCUCUGCCUCAACGUGGGUCUCUGUCUCCGAUCAAUCUGUCUCUGUCGUUCUUGAGAAGCCCGAGGCAGCGAUGCUGCCCCCUCCUCUCCCUCCCCAGCAGCACUCGCUAGGCCUUCCCCGGAGGGCUUCAGCUCCUUAGGAUGGGGGCCGGGUCGCUGAUGUCUUUUGUCCAGUUUAGAGCAGUGGGCUUGGAGCUUCAGGACCCGUGUGACCCAGUAGGUCGGAGCCUCGCCAUAAAGCAUGAUGGAUAGGUGAAUUUCCUUGAUGGAGGAUAUUCCACUCGGCCGGAUACGGGGUUCGCAAUUACCUGAGUCCGGGAUAUAUGCACAUCACUGCCUCUGCCUCGGACAUCCCCGAUAACCCCCGUGGAACUAGCAGACAUUAGGAAUCCAAUAGAUCUACGGGCGCCUGGGGGGCUCAGGAGGUGGAGCGUCCGACUUCGGCUCAGGUCAAGAACUCACCGUUUGUAGGUUCGAGCCCCGCGUCGGGCUCUGUGCCGACAGCUGGGAGCCCGGAGCCUGCUUCGGAUUCUGUGUCUCC